UGAAAGAAACCAACAUAGCAAACUCAAGUGUUUUUUCACGUGAGAGUCUCCAAAAAUUCACACCAUAAGAUCACGUGCUUUUCCUUUGACAAGCACAUGCUUUCCAUGUCAUAUAGAUGUGAAAAUCAUUUUAAACCAGCUGAUCGUUAGCAAAAAGCCUUUCAUUCUUAUUUCGUAUGCUUUUCACUUCAGAUUCAAAUGAAUUUCACAUCGAUUUGCCCCAUUCGAUAUUUCCUUUGAUUUUGUAGUGAAAAACACGUUAGGUUCAAAUGUUGUGUGGCAAAUGCGUGUGGCAAAAAACUCUCCAUAAGUAAGAUGGCCACGCACGAGGAUGGUGAAGAAUUUGCUUUUCGGAUAGAAAUUACUUCUAACCGAGCUUUUAGCCAACUAGUUCCCUUAGAUUAUUUUAAUAUUUGGGCGCAAUGGUAGAAGAUCAGGAUCCGGCGGUGACGGUGCUUCUCAAGAUUCAUCAUAGAUAACACGGGCGAGCUACGGAUCGGCCAGCUGUCGGAUCGUGAAGUGUUUGGUCGUCUUGCUGCACUUUUUUUCGGCCAGCUUGAACCCGUUCUCGAACGAUCUGACCUUGCCGAUUCGCCGUUCCGGCAGGGCGAAUUCUUGAAUGUCUCGGUGAACGAACUUCACAACGCCGAUUUAUGUAAUUUAAGUAUUCUUAAAAAUGUUUUUAUUUAUAAAAAUAAAUCUUAUUUAUCAUUGAAA